rnacentral:rRNA from 1 species
CAGUCGCCGCGGGAAUACGAAGGGUGCAAGCGUUACUCGGAAUUACUGGGCGUAAAGCGUGCGUAGGUGGUGGUUUAAGUCCGUUGUGAAAGCCCUGGGCUCAACCUGGGAAUUGCAGUGGAUACUGGAUCACUAGAGUGUGGUAGAGGAUAGUGGAAUUUCCGGUGUAGCAGUGAAAUGCGUAGAGAUCGGAAGGAACAUCUGUGGCGAAGGCGACUAUCUGGGCCAACACUGACACUGAGGCACGAAAGCGUGGGGAGCAAACAGGAUUAGAUACCCGUGUAGUCCUGUCUCUUUACAC